rfam:Ovis aries breed Texel chromosome 4, whole genome shotgun sequence.
UCCCUGGUGGUCCUGUGGUUAGGACUUGGCGCUCUCAUUGCCAAGGGCCCAGGUUCAAUCCCUGGAUGGAGAA